rnacentral:misc_RNA from 1 species
CCCUAUAACUUAAUCUCACAUAGC